AACGAACGCUGGCGGCAUGCCUAACACAUGCAAGUCGAACGAGACCUUCGGGGCUAGUGGCGCACGGGAGUGUAACGCGUGGGAACCUGCCCUUAGGUGCGGAAUAACUCCCCGAAAGGAGCGCUAAUACCGGAUAAUGUCUCCGGGCCAAAGAUUUAUCGCCUUUGGAUGGGCCCGCGUUGGAUUAGCUAGUUGGUAGGGUAACAGCCUACCAAGGCGACGAUCUAUAGCUGGUCUGAGAGGAUGAUCAGCCACACUGGGACUGAGACACGGCCCAGACUCCUACGGGAGGCAGCAGUGGGGAAUAUUGGACAAUGGGCGCAAGCCUGAUCCAGCCAUGCCGCGUGAGUGAUGAAGGCCUUAGGGUUGUAAAGCUCUUUUACCCGGGAUGAUAAUGACAGUACCGGAAGAAUAAGCCCCGGCUAACUCCGUG
rnacentral:rRNA from 1 species